rnacentral:tRNA from 1 species
GAUCGACUAGCUCAGUUGGUAGAGCACAAGAUUGAAGCUCUUGGUGUCACAGGUUCGAAUCCUGUGUCGAUCA